GGGAGGAGCAGCGUAGGCUAACACCUGCAAAAGCUGCUUUUUCUCUGAGGUUCGUAACAUGAAACAUUCCUCCCAGAAUGCUCUCAGUCAGAAAAGGAAGGCAUUUGCAGUGUCAGCUGUAGGUCUCCUUUCCCACACUCCCCGUAAUGGUCAAUGGGAUGGAUUCAGAAUAUUAUCUAGCCUCAUUCUCUUCCCGCAGUUUCAAAAGAAAAUCAGCUGGAACUGAGGUGAGCUUCAUUGGACCUUUCCUUCCAUAGGAUCAGGGAUUUUGAAAUGAAAGAGAAGUUGGAGCACAUUGAAUCUAAAUUACUCAUUUCACAGUUGACAAAAGUGAGGUCUGAAGAAAGUGAAUGACCAGCCGAAGUCACAGGAUUUGAACCUGAGUCCUCUGUCUCCUAAUAGAGCAUCCUUUCCACUGCACCAUGAUGUCCCCUUCUAAACUUGGGCUUCUUUCCUCAAGCCACUGGCAUAUCUAUUGUACUUCUGAAAGAUGCGUGUUCACUUCACACUCUUCAAAAUCACAGAGAAGAUAAAAGACAGAAAAGCUUGGUGUUUGCAGUGGUGCUUAGAGACGUCAAUGGAGAGGCAUACGGCAGGGAAGAACAACAGCAAGGAAUUAUUAAAAAGUGGCAGAAGAAAGCCUCUUAUCCAAAAUGGAAGCUAAAAGAAUGUGGAAGGCAGAGGAUCCCCCCGUCCUGUUGUAUCCUAGCGUCUCUAAGACUGUGUCCUGGGGAUGUCCAGCAGAGUGAAGAAGGGCCCCAUUCAUUUGGGUGGAGCCCUUGCAGUGAGCCUCGGAAGGACAUGACAAAAGUGGUAUCAGAGCAUGGACAUGCAUGGCUGCCUUGUCACCCGCACAGCUGGAAGGACCGGACUCCAGGGAGUGUUGGCCAGACUCCAGUGCUUUCAUGGUGUUCUGCCUUAGUGAAACCACAAAUAAACGUAGUCAAACAAAAUGAAUCCUCAGAGUAGCCAUGCCUGAAAUGUAUGUCUCUGUACUUUGUGUCCGUCCUUUCUCUGUCAAAAGGUGGCUGAUCCACUUCUUCUUAGGUCCCAGGGUGUUAGAGCACCUCUGGAAUAAUGCUUUCCCUCCUGGGUGCCCCAUUUUAGAAUGGACUUAGGCUGGUGUCCAGCCAGAGAGAGGCAGCCAGGAUAGGGGAAGGACCAGGGGCCAAGAGAAGGAAGGUCACCUGAAGGAAAUAGGGAUGCUUAGCUUGGGGGUGGGGGCCAUGAUGGGGACAUGUAAGAACUGCCUUCAAGCAUUCAGGGGGCUGUUACAAGGAAGAGGGUGUGACUUGUUCUGCCUGGUACCAAACCACAAAAAGAGAAGCAAAGGGUGGAAGGUACAGAGAGGCAGACUUUAGUAUUAAUCUAAGAACAGACUCCCUGGUAAUGAGAACCAUGUAAAAAGUGUAACUGAUCUUCCAUUACUGGAGGAAGUAAUGAUAAUGAUAGCGAACAUCUCUAGAGAGCUUACUAAAUGCCAGGCACAGUGCCAAGCUCUUUACCAUUAUUAUCUCACUUGAUCCUCACAACAACCCUAGGAGUUGGUGCAAUUACGAUCCCCAUUUUAUAGGUGAGAAAACUAAGGCAAACAGAGGUUAAGGGACAUGCCCAGCCUGACAGAACUAGGAAGCAUCUGAGGCUGGAUUUGAACUCAAGUCUUGUUGACAGCAUACCUGACUGUAUUUACUGCACCACCUAGCUCCCUAGAUGGCUAGACUCUCUGCCCUGGUGCUUUUCAAGCAAAUCUUUAAGAACAUUUGUUGAGAAUUUGGAAAGGGGACUCUUGGUCAGCUAUGGGUAAGAGAAACCCACCUUUGGGUGUCAUCUAAUUAUUUAGAUUGUGACACUCCAUGAUUCUUGUCUGUCAAAGAAAUCAAGGUCAGAACUGGUCACAGCCACAGCAUCUUCCUAUGAGACCUAGAAACCUGCCCCCAAGGCAGCCUUGACAAGCUGCCCCUGACCCAGCUGGGGGGGGGGGGGAAGGAGAAGCCCCAGGCAGUGAUGCCUCCCUCAGCUGCUGCCUGGGCAGGUUUUUGUUCAGAGCUGUAUCACUGUGGGAGGCCAGCUAGAGUACUGCUGACACUAAGAAACCAUGAUGUCUUCAGGUUCAGCACUGCUGAUAGUAAAAUAGAAAUCUGUCCCAGAGCCUUUGGCCCUGAACCAGGCAGGAAGCCCAGAGUCCAGGGUGGAAGCUAAUCUAAUGAUGAGCCUAGUAGUCUGGCCUGCUUUCUGUUGGUACCAGUGUAGGUUGGUGCUAAUGCCCUGACUGGCCCUGCAGGACAUGGUCACUCUCUCUCCUGCAGACACAGAGAGGGAGGCUGGAGACUGAGUCAGCACAAUGGCCCCUCAAGCAUCUGUAAUCAUAAAUGCAAAAUAAAAAGUUAUGAAUAUUCA
rnacentral:lncRNA from 1 species